rnacentral:lncRNA from 1 species
UCUCAGCUCAGCUUCUCAAAAUGAGGCUCCCUGCUCAGCUCCUGGGGCUGCUGCUGCUCUGGAUCCCUGGAACCAGUGGGGAUGUUGUGAUGACCCA